rnacentral:rRNA from 2 species
UAGGGAAUCUUCGGCAAUGGACGAAAGUCUGACCGAGCAACGCCGCGUGAGUGAAGAAGGUUUUCGGAUCGUAAAACUCUGUUGUUAGAGAAGAACAAGGACGUUAGUAACUGAACGUCCCCUGACGGUAUCUAACCAGAAAGCCACGGCUAACUACGUGCCAGCAGCCGCGGUAAUACGUAGGUGGCAAGCGUUAUCCGGAUUUAUUGGGCGUAAAGCGAGCGCAGGCGGUUUCUUAAGUCUGAUGUGAAAGCCCCCGGCUCAACCGGGGAGGGUCAUUGGAAACUGGGAGACUUGAGUGCAGAAGAGGAGAGUGGAAUUCCAUGUGUAGCGGUGAAAUGCGUAGAUAUAUGGAGGAACACCAGUGGCGAAGGCGGCUCUCUGGUCUGUAACUGACGCUGAGGCUCGAAAGCGUGGGGAGCAAACAGG